CUAAAUCUAGAUCUGAGUUGGCAAGGGACUACAGAUGAGGAAAGUUCUGGAGAGUUUUGAUGGGAAGAAAAUAGAGAUCACUGAGCAAAAGGAAAAAUGGAAUUUUCAGAAGACCACUCCAUAGGUGGUAGUCAGAGUAGAUACAGAGGCAGGUGACAGCUAGUCGUGAAUCUGCAAGUUCACUGAACAGACUGUGUGAAGGACUAUAUUCCAGGCUAUGUGGUAUACCUGAUCACAUCUGGAUUGGUCUCUCAGCCCUUUGCUCUCAGCUCCACUCUCUGUACGUUCCCUGCUCUGUACACACAAGAAUUGGAUCUCUGGCCAGGGGGCUUCCAUGAAGAAUCAGCCAAUAGGAGGCUAGAAGAUUGAUGGUGGAAGAAGGUAAGCUGAGAAUUUCAUUCUUUCCUCUCCCUGCCCUGGGGCAUCUUGGACAGUGCUAUUUUUUCUGGAAAUUCCAGUUUCAAAAGGCAUCCCAUCCUUUGUGUACCCAGCCCACAGCUCUGUCCAGGAGUCCCAACUCUGGCUUCUCAUGCUACCUUCCCCACCUGUGAUGCACCAGUCUUAGGGUGGAACAACUUCCAGCCAUUGCCAAUCUGUGGGGCACUCACCAUCUCUUUUUUGGCUUCUCAGUUUUAGCUGUGUGCUAAUACUAGGCACUUGUAUUAUAUUCAUAGAAUAUAAUAUAAUAAUAAUAUAGUAUAAUAAUUAUAUAAAUAUAUUUAUAUAUUUAUAUUAUAUAAUAAAUAUAAUAAUUAUAGAAACACCAGAAGUGUUUGUAUUUCCUGAGUAACCCUAAACUGACAUAGCACCUAAAUCAAAACAAAUCUCAGAUUAUUUUUGUGUGAUUACAUAUGACUCUAAAUCUUAGAAAAUACAUAAUUGCAAGCUACAUAAAGAUUGGUCUCCUAGUAAAGAGGAGAGAAAUGUGGAUCAGAAUUCUUCAACAAAAAAAAAAUCAUAUUAUCAUCUCUUAAUACAGGAUAAUUAUGAAUCUGUGAAUAUAACAUGUCACAUUUAAUUCAGCAUUUCCUGGGUGAUCUGGAAAGGUGAAUAACAAAUUCAGAAAUUUAUCCCACAGAUGUAAACUGGGAAGUGUUGCAAAUACCCAAAAGAAUAAGGAAAUACUAAUAAUUUUUUAAAACCCUGGCAGUUAGAGUAUGGACAGGAUAUGAUGAUGAAACUCAUAAAAAUACAUAGUUGAAUCAAAAUAGCAAAAUGAAAUACUGCCUGAAAAAAUGCACAGUUGCAUGGAUAAAAAGAAAUCAUCAGAAACACAGAUACUCCAUGGGUAGGAAAGAAAAUAAGUGAAGAUGACUGAGGAGUGACAGUGCAAACUUAAACAUAAUUUAGAAAUAUGAUGGAAGAAAAGAGCCUGAUUAUUAAGAUCUUUAAGUUUAGAUAGUCAAUGCUGUUGUUUUAAAUUAUGGUGUUUUUUUUUUUCUCUUCUCUCCAACAUCUAAUCAUUCCCUCCAAUUUAUAUAAUAUCGAUUAAUCCAAAAUCAGCAGAGCCUUAUCCAACUUUGUAUACCUCGAUAAUAAAAAUAAAGAAAAUACUAAGAAUGUAAGGAAAUUGAAUCUGAAUGAUAAGGAGCUGGAGAACACAACAGUAAAGGAAGUGAGAAGAGCCAGCUUGGCUGAGCAGCCAUAUUUCUAGCACAGACCCAGAGAAAGUCAAGGCAUAUUGUGUGGGGCAAAUAAAUUCCACAUAGAUGCUAGAUCUCAGUGUUGGCCUACUUAUGGAGUAUCCAGUUCUCAUUUUGAUGGGAAGAAUCCAGGCAAGUAAAAUAAAUUCCUGGAGAUGAAACUGCUCUUUGGGAUAAGCAAAAUUACUUCCUCUUUCUCCAUGAAGCCCCAGAUGGUCAGAAAACAAAACCCCAGUAUGUGAUUUUUGUUUGUUUGUUUGGCUUGAACCUUAAAUAUCACUUCUAUCAGGAUAAUACUAACUUCUAGAGGUUUCUGUGUGUUUCCAUGUGAUCAGGAAGGGUUUUCUUUUGGAAAAACAGGAGUUCAAAAGAAGGACAAGAACGCUUAGCUCUGAACAGAUGAAGUAAAAUAAUUUGCUCCUGUGUAAAUUAUUAGUUGAAAGAAGAAUAAGGAUUAAAGCUAAACACUCAGUGCUCCUGUUAAACAGGGCUGUUAUAAUCUAAGUAUUCAUGAGAAACCAUUUUCAAAUUUAAAAGAGGGAGGGAGAGAAGCAACUAUAGUCAACUGUAAUAUAGCAAGGAUCUGUCACAUGAUCUAAUUACAGAAAUGAAAGCAACCCAGGAAUUAUGUGGUCUAUUCAAGCCUGCAAGGAGUAUGAACAAAGAAUAUAAUUAUACAUCAAGCCUGUUGAUUAAACAAUUACUAUUUAAAGCAGAUAUAGAUUUAAAAUUAAUUUGCUUCUGCGUUCUGAGGAUUUGGGGACUGAGAUAAACAUUAUUUGAAGUUUAAUUAUCUGUGUGUAAGAUGAAGGGGCUCAUUUCAAUUUGGUUAGCUCUGCAGAGCAUUUUGGAUGGUGUGAAAGGAAAAAUCCAACUCCACCACAAGUUUCAGCAUUGCUGAAAUGUGUGAUUAAAAUGAGCGGGAAGACUUGAUCAGCCUAAUCCCCACAGGACGGGUAAUAUCACAGGAGGGAUUGUGCAACUGCAAAUUAAUAUUUAAAUGAACAUUAGUGUGAAGUUUACCUGGAAGGGGAAAAUACUUUAUCUCCAAAAGAAUAGAAGAAAGCCAACCACACAGCUUCAGCUCCAUGGCAGGGAGGACAGGGGAGUGGACACCUUCACGCAGGGCUGAGCAAAUAGAACACCUACCUGCCAGCUACUCUGAAUGGAGUGAUUCUUAUCAGAGGCCACGUGUACAGUGUCCCAGGGCAGAAUUUCAGGGUCGGAGGGUGGGCAGGGUAAAAGGGUAAAUUGUAGUCAGAGUGAAAGAAAAACAAUCUAGAAAAUUCCAGAGUUACAGAAUGAUCGUUGAGAUGCAUGGAAAUAAAGUCUGAUUAGUAUCCACACACUGAGAUCCAAAGGCAUUGGGCAGAAUUUCCAGACCUCAAACCCAACUCAUCAGCUACCAUGAAGGGGCUCAGUGACCUGCCUGUGCUCAUAUACCUCACCUGGCCCCCAGCCCUAGGAGGAAGGUGCUGCAUGGUGUUGAGGUUAAGAGAAUGAACUUUAGAAAGGGAAAACCUUGAAUGAGGUCUCAGCUCUGCCACUUUCCAAUUUGGAAGCAAAGCAUUUGCCUUUGCUCCAGGUCCUCUUCCUAGGUCCUCAAGGAAACAAUAAGGUUCAUUUAUUCAUUAGGUUGUUUAAAAUAUGAAAUAUGAGAAUGGGGACAACUAAGAGUGUUCUUCUUCUACCUAAAACCCUGUGGUGGGUCUUAUUAUUUUGGGGGUAAAGGUGAAUCUCUUUAGUGUAGCCUUCAAGCUUCAGAAGUGUGAUAAUGCCCUCCUCACCCAUCUUCUUUUGCACCCUCCUUCCUAAUACUUUCUCCCUCCAGACACACAAGCUUUAUGUCAGUCCUCUAUUUUCUCUCCUGCUUCAAAAUCCAGGUCACAUGAAGCACUGGAAAGUCCUCAAAGAUCUCCUGCUAUAGUCUGGAUCCAGAAUGUCCCACAAAGACCAAUGUGUUAGAGGCUUGUCCCCAGCUUGGUGCUAUUAGGUGGUAGUGGAACUUUUAAGAAAUGGGACCUCAUGGGAGAUCUUAGGUCAUUGGGGGCAUGCCCUCCAAGGGAAUCUGGGACUCCAGCCCCUUAUUAUCUUUUUCAUUCUGUGCCAGUAAAUGAAUGGCUUUUCUCCUCCAUGUGUUCCCCUCCAAGAUGAUAUUACUUGCAACCGUCCCAAAAGCAACAGGGCCAGCUAACUAUGGACUGAAACCUCCGAACUGUGAACCAAAAUAAACCUUUUCUUUUUUUAAGUUGAUUUUCUCAGGUAUUUGUUACAGUAAUGGAAAACUGACUAACAUACCUCCUUUCCAUAUCACUUACUAAACUUGCAAUUUUAUAUUUGUGUAGUUCUUUUUAACACAGCUAUUUUUCCAUUGGAAUGAAAGCUCCAUAGGAUGCAAUUUUGCCAGUGUUUUAUCCACAUUAUAAAUUUUAUUCCUAUAGACACUCAAAUAUUUGCUAAGGAAUAAAUGAAUGAAAAUGCCAGUGCCUGGCACAUAGUGUGCCUCAGUAAACAAACACUGGUUUUUAAAUAACAACCCACUAAUAAUGCUAAUUGAAAAAUACAAGAAAAAAUUCUGAUUAUUAUUUACUUUCUCCAGUGAUUCUCAAAUGAUUUUUAUUCCGCAGGCAAUGUCUGUGCUACUUGAAUCUAGUGGGUAGCUGGGAGCCUGCUAAACACCCUACAAUGCACAGCACAGUCUUCCUACUAUGCCAAAAGUGCCAUGGUUGAAAGAACUGAAUUUUGUCUUCUGUCAUUUUUCUCUCAUACUGUAAUUCAUCACUUGAGUUAUAGAGGCAAAUCCCACCUGCCAUAGGCAGUUAUUCUUGCCUUCUACCCUGUACAUUUCUGAGAGCACAAGGUCAUUCUUGCCUCUCACUUCUUCCCCACACUCUAUCGGUCUAUCUCAAAACCCUUGGUCCACCCAUCCCUGUUCUGCUUGUGAGACUAAACUUAAGAAAACUAUGUUUUUACCCUUCCCUGUCAUACAUGUUGUUUUAGUCAGCUUUUUUUGCUGCUGUGACUAAAGGACCCAACCUGCACAAUGUUAGAGGAGGAAGAAUUUAUUUGAGGGCUCACAGUUUCAGAGGUCUUAGUCCAUAGAAGGCUGGCUCCUUCCUCAGGGCUGGAGGUAAGGCUGAACAUCAUGGCGGGAGAGAGUGGUGGAGGGAAGAAGCUCACAUCAUGGUGAUCAGGGAGCAGAGAGAGACUCCACUUGCCAGAUACAAAUAUACAUCACAAGCCAGGCCCCAGUUCCCACCUCCUUCAGCCAUACCCUACCACUUCAGUUAAUCCCUAUCAGGGGAUUACAACACUGAAUGAGUUAAGACUCUUACAACCCAAUCGUUUUUACUCUGAACUUCUUGCAUUGUCUUACAUGUCAGCUUUUGGGAGACACCUCACAUCCAAACCAUAACACAUUUGUUCCUAUCUUACAGUAUAAGUUUCAACAAAAGCAAAAUGUGAGCACCAAUACUUGGCUUUCUGGACAAAGCUGUUUCAUAUAUAAGGCUUUAAGACAGUUUAUGUAGCAAAAAAAAAAAAAAGAUAGAGGCUGACAUUUAUUAACUGUCAUGCCCCGAUAAAGACAUUGCUCCAAGACAAAAGAGCACUCACUCUAACAGUAAGUGCUGUGCUCAAAAUUAUCAAAAUAUGAAGUUAUAGAAAUGAAAAAACUGGAAACAAAGAAGCAAAUUAUUCUAGAGUGGUAACUCAGAUAGUGUCAAACACCCGAGAUCACAAAAAUGUAAAACUUCAUAUUUAAUUGAUUUCAUAAAAUGCUGUGUACACAAUGGUUAAAAUUAUGUCAGAUAGAAAUUACAAGUAUUGGCAAGAACAUGGAGAAACUGGAAGCACAAACAGACUGAAACAGCCUAUGGGAUGGUACUACCUUUAAGACUCACAAACAUCAUGCUGAUUCACAGAUUUAGGGCUCUUGGUUUUGAAUAUUCACUUGUUGCCUUAAACCCUUAUGGCUUCUUUCUCAUCCCAAUGUUGUCACAAAACUUUAUCACUGGAGGGCAAUAUGAUUCAGUCACUUUAGAAAUCAUUUUGAUGGUUCAUCAAAGAGUUAAACAUAGGGUUACCAUAUAACCCAGCCAUUCAUCUCCUAGGUUGUAUCCAAACAGUAUGAAAACAAUAAAACAAGAGCCUAUACAUGUAUAUUAAUAGAAACACUAUUCACAAUAUGCAAAUGGUGGAAACUGUCCAAAUGUCCAUCAACAGAUGAACUAUUAAACUAAAUGUGGUAUAUCCAUACAAUGGAAUACUAUUUUAACACACACACACACAAAAAGAAAUGAAAUACUGAUACAGCCUGGAUGAACCGCCAAAUACAGUUUGCUGUGUGAAACAAGAUCACAUAUUGCAUAAUCCCAUUUAGAUGAAUAUCCAGAUAGAAAAAUCCAUAGAAACAGAAUGUACAUUUAUCUUCCAGAUGCUGGAGAAAGAGGAAUGUUCAGAGAAAUGCAGAGAAACUGUUUAAAAUUUAAGAGGUUUUACCCACUAAAUAGUUUGAAGUAAUGUAAAUGUUUUUGGAAACAGAGGUAGUAGUUGCAAAAUGCUGAAUUAUUUAGUCACUGAAUUUUCUCACAUUAAAAAGGUUGUUUUAUGUUAUAUAAAUUUCACCUUGAUUUUUUAAGAUUGUAAUAUCCCUGGGUGUGGUGGUACACACCUGUAAUCCUAGCAACUUGGGAUGCUGGAACAGGAAGACAAAUCACAAGUUCUAAGACCGGCUUGGGCAACUUAGAAAGACCCUGAAUCAAAUUUAAAAAUAAAAAGGGCUGGGGAUAUAACUCAGUGGUAGAGUACCCCUGGGUUCAGUCCUCAGUAAUGCACACACAAAAAGUUAAAAGUAUGCAAAACUGGCCAAUACUGAAAGAGAGAAUGCCUCAAAAUGGAAAGAGAUGUGAAAAUUUCUAGGGGAAUUAUUGGUAAUUUAUUUUUAAAUUUUAUUUUUUAAGUGACACAUUCAUUGUAAACAUUCUAGAGAACACAUAAAAGCACUAAAAAUAGUGUAGAAAUCGUUAUUGGUAUGUCUUGUUUUUCAAAAAGAUUCUUUAAUGUUGAUGUUAAGUUACCUUUGAAAGUACAAGAAAAAGAAAACCAAGAUACUGUGUUUAAGUAAGAUAAAUCCACACAGUCAAACAUGUAUUUCUGCCAAGGCUUUGAAUGAAGGCUUAUUUCUCUCUGUGGCAAAAAUGAAACUGGGAGACUGAGGACUAUGGGAGGAAACAGAUAAACCUUAACUCUGGAGCUAAGGCCUCUCUCUCCCAUUCUUCUAUCCACCCCAUACCAGCAAGGUCUGGGUCUUAUCAGACUGGCCAAGCCUGGUCUCUGGGGGAGAGUUGGGGAGCCAUUCCCCAUUAAAAAGAUGGCAAUUUCCCAUUCCUCUUACCUGCAUAGCCUUUUGAGCACAGCAAGAACUCACAAGUGAUAAUUAAACUAUUGAACUCUAAGAACAAGAUGGGGGUUUAAGAUCCCUGGCUUCAUAAAAAAAAUAAGUCAUUAAUUCCAAAAGAUUUACAAAUUCUGAUAAAACUGUAUGUUUCUCUUCCCAUUCUUCUAAACCUUUUUUUGAGUAUGAACAUAAAUAAAGUGAUAAGAAACAAAAAGAGAAGCAGAAGUGUGGUACAUUGCUCAGUACAGAACAAAUAUAUUACCAGUGACUCCAAACUACCUACCAAGAGCCCAUUCUGUACCCAGCUAUUAUACACUGUGUGUUUGUACCUCCCAGAAUUCAUACAAGAUGAUUUUGGGAGGAGGAGACUUUAGGAAGUAUUAGGUCAUAACGGUGGUGCCUUCAAGAUUAGGAUUAGUGCCCUAUGGAAGAGACCCCAGAAGUUCCUCACCUCUUCCCUCUUAUGAAGACAAAAUGAGAAGAUAGCCAUCCUUUAACCAAUUGCCAAGCAUUGAACUGCAGUAUCAUGAUUUCAGACUUCUCAGCAUCAAGAACUGUGAGAAGUUUCUGUUUUUAUAUUUUGUUAUAACAGCUCAAAUGGACUAAGACACCAAGUAAGACACUAAGACACUAAGUAAGUUAGCAUCACAAAAUUAUUUAGGAGAUACUAUCUUUAAGACUCCAAAAUAAUACUCUGAUUCACAGAUUCGGAGCUUUGGGUUUUGAAUAUUCAUUCUUUGCCUCACCUAUCAAUGACCUCUUUCUCAAUCCACUUUUGUCCACUAAUCUUUUAUGAAUUGCCUCUUCUAUUCUUGCAGCACAACUACACUGAGUGAGACACAUUUUCCUUAUUAAAAAUAAAAACAUAAAAAGAAAAAGAACAGAAGAUGUUAAGGAUAUAAAGAUACUCUAAAGUAAUUCCCUCCCUAAAGAAACUGGUAGAAUCAAAAAAGAAUCAAAAAAUAAAAAAGGUAAAGGAAACAAAAAUAAGUAACUCUCAGAACCAACAUUGUUGGGAACAAAGUCUGGUGGACUCUCUAAAUAUAGAGUUUCCUAUACCUGGGCUCUCUGGCAUAGUAAAGCUAUCUCCAUGGCUAAUGGAAGGCCCUGAUACUUCUCCAUUUUUUCCAGGGAACUUAGCAUUAAUAUUCUCCCUAAGUGUAUUCCUUGAGGAAUCAUGGCCAUAAGCAAUUACAUGGAAGCUGCCUUGCCUCCACUUCUUGCAAUGCAUGAUAUGUAGACACAAACACACACACACACAUACACACACACACACACCAAAAAAAAAAAAACACCACGUCAGGGCCCAACAGAGAAGUACAAUCAAUAGGAGGUAGAGAAGGAAAGACAAACAGUUAGUUAAAUGCAGAGUGUUCCCUCAUUCUGUCUUGUCAAGAACAUACAGACAUGAGAUAUACAUAAAAACCUAAAAUGAAGUGAAUAUUGCUCAUUUUAGACCAAGCAAAACACAGGCUAUAUUUCUUCAGAUUUUAAGGGUUUUCUCUGUUACAGUUUAGAUACUAGGUAUCCCCCAAAAGCUCAUAUGAAAGACAAUGCAAGAAGGCUUAGAGAUGAAAUUGUUAGGUUAUGAGAGCCUUAACCCAAUCAGUGAAUUUAUCCCCUAAUAGGGAUUAACUGAGUGGUAACUGUAGGCUGGGAGGGUGUGGCUGGAGGAGGGACAUCAUUUGAGUCAUGCCUUUGGGGCAUAUAUUUGGUGAUCUGAACUUAGUCUCUCCCUCUCUGCUUCCUGGAGUGAAAGAUGUCUUGAGCUGCUUUCCUCCACCACACCCUUCUACCACGAUGUUCAGCAUCACUGGAAGCCUCGAGGGAUGGGACUAGCUAUUUAUGAUCUGAGACCUCUGAAAUCUUGACCACCAAAUAAAAUUUUCUUUCUCCAAACGUUCUUGUCAAGUCUUUUGGUCACAGCAAUGAGAAAGCUGACAAAAAUGCUGUCUCGGUCCCAAUCCUAAAAACUGUCCUGGUCAAGGCUUUGUAACCCCAUUGCCUAAAAUGGGGUUGAUUUUCUCUAAAACUAGCUGUGAUGUGUGGAUGAUGGUUCUGGAACCUCUAAAGGUACAUUUCCAUAGAAACCAAAGUAAGUGGUCAUGAAAGGUGAAGAGCUCAUACUCCAAGCUCUGAGAAAAGCGAAAAUGCCCUCAUGACAAAUUUAGUAUCAUUGAGCCAGGAUACAGUCCUCCCUGCCAAUAUUACCAAAUCCAAUUCUAGGUGACUUCUGGAACCUAGAUUUAUUUAGAUUGACAUCUAGAAGCUCGCAUGUUCCACACAUCCAACUGUAGGAAAGGGGGAGGUCAAACUCUUGGAUUGUGCUCCACCCUCCUCCUCUACCAGCCUGAAAAUCUUCAUAAUACAAAACAGCUCUGUGAUGCUUAAGAUAGUAAGAUAGCAUCACAAAAUUAGACAAUGGUUGGUAGCAAUUAUCUUUCAAACUUGACAGACUUGGUUUUGUGUUGUUUUAGGGAAUAAAGUGUCUAAUGGCCAUGAAUCAUGAAUACUGCAUUUAGCGUUUUUUGUUGUUGUUGUUGUUGUUGUUGUUGUUUUGUUUUUGUUUUUUGCCAAAUGCAUUGCAACAAAUCUACUCUUCAGCACUGGACUCUGCCAAAUAUUCCAUCUCAAUACCUCGUCCAGCUUCUAGAGAAAUUUCAUCCAAAUCUUUUGUUAAGCCUUUCUCAACACUCUGUGUUUACAAAGUACUCACAAUAAUCUAGUAGCCUAGAGUUGGGUAGCGACCCAAGUCAGCACCUAAAUAAUGGAGUCUUGCCCUCUCACUGUUAGCACUUACUUUGCAGAGAAACAUCCUCAGGGUUCUAUAGAGAUUUACAACUAGUUGCCAAGAUCUUUUUGGAGUCAAAAAUGAAGUGCAUGUCUAGACUUUGAAACUUCCACCCCAGGGCUUGUCCCAUUCGGGCAAUGAGGGGCAGCUGAGUGGGUUGUAAGGUGAGUAGUGACAGAAAUAUCUUCCCUUUUGGUCUGCAAUAGUUGCUGAGUUUUCCAUGAGGGCUGCUCCUUGGGAGUAUUUCUGAUACAAACACUAUGUUGAAGUGUUUUAAGGUGUUACUUAACAGAAGUAACAGUUAGUUAGCUAAUAGAGCAACACAUUCCCCUUUAUCUAUACAAUCUCGUAUCACCCACAAAGUAAAUAGGUCCUGAAACAAGUAGACCCAGAACAGGCAAGUGUGGAUAUGUAGAGUAACAAGGAAGGAGAGGAUGUUCUAAAGAAUGUGGUUGGCCAGGACAGGGAUCUAUGAAACAACAGUAAAGGGAGGUGAUGGGGGGGCGGGGGGGCGGGGAGGAUGAGAGUACUAGACACAGCUGGCUUUGAAAUGGAGGGAAACGAACAAAAGAAAUGAAAACCAGAUUUGGUUGAAUUUACAAAUCGGCCCAGGGCCCAUACUGCUUCCCAGAAGAGGAGAAACCAGUGCAGGGAAGAUGUGACUGAUUUUAGGACAAUGUCUUUCAUACUCUGACCUCAAGGUGCCAUUCUAAGAGAAUGAUAAACUCUCAAAGAACUAUGAGGUUGAGGGUCUCAGGAGCAGGGCAGGAGCAGGAGCAGGGGACAGACGCAGGGAACAGGUAGUUCUCUGGGUUGGCAGGAGUAGAGCGGGCAGAUGCCUUGGGAUUUCUCCAUAUCCCUCUCCUAGAGGGUAAGUGUGGACUGAGCCUCUGUGUGUACUCCCCGAGUUCAUUGUGGUUCUCUGAUCUCCUACAGAGAAAGCAUGUGAGGAAAAACUGGUGACAUAGAGGGCCCUAUGUGGACUGUGUCAUGAGAAAUGUGUCACCAACCUCAGCAUAACCUUGCCAUUUCUCAUCCUCUCUCCCAAUGUCUCCUUCUUGCUCCUUCUAGAAUUUCCCAGCCAAAACUGUUAAGAGAUAUGGUUUAUUUCUCUGAUCAAAUAUAAUUAUUUAAUGAUAAAAGUUUACUUAAACUCUUUUUCAAUUAUAAAAGCAAUGUUGGCAACAGAUUCUUCCCUACAUCCAAACACUUCUCACAUUUUAACUUCACAACUUCCCAUGGUCUUACCCUUACUUCCUGAGAUGCCCACACCUUCACUUCUUACUGCUUUCAGUUCCAUCAGGAUCCAUCCCCAGGAAACAGGAAUGAAUAUUCCUGCCUUUUCUGACAACUUUUUAUCACCAAAGCUUACCUCUUCUAUGGUCCAUUCCCUAGAAACUUUGCCCAGUACUAUCUAUUCUGAUAAAUUAAUACAUGCCAAGGGGGAGGAGUUUCUUAGAGUUUGUUAAGUGAAUCAAAUGAGAGAAAUAAAUAGAUAUAUAGGUAUAUAGGUGAAGCAUGAAUAUUAUUUUUAUCAGUACAUUUAGUUCUCACAGGUAAUAAACAGAUGUUUUAGGAGGGACCCUAUGAAUGUUAAUCAAAAUGAGUGGCUCUGUUCUGAGGAACUUUACCUAUCAGGGCAGGUUGGCAUGGAAAAGAGGAAGAGGGUGUGAGGUAUGAGCCUGCUGCUUUUGGAUCUCCUCCACCCACGUUUUAUAAGCCCACUCUUUUUGUGGCUACUGCCCAUCCCAAGGCCAAACCACAUUUUGCUUCAUUCAAUUGAACCUUCACAGAAAGAAAAAAAUAAAAACCUACUUUGAUCUAUUGUUAAUAAAAUAAACUGUUUGAAAGAUACAAGAACAGUAAUGAACAGUUAGUUCCCAAUUAUGGAAAACAGCAGUCCUCGGGGCCAAAUAUCUUACAGAAAUCUUCUGCAUUCGGCAAAGAACCAUUAUUUAGGGACUCACAGAAAGGAGAAAAAUUGCUUGCAUUUCCAGGAGUUAGCUCUAUCAAUUUCCAGCUCUGUGUUGUGGGAUAAGUUGUUUAGCUUCCUGGAGCCUCGUGUGCUUUAUCUAUAAAAUGGGGAUAAACAUACCUCUGUCCCCAGAUGGUCAAGAUUCAGUUGAAUUGUGACCUAUAAGCAAUGUAACUCCAGAUUAGCUAGAUAGUAAACAAAUGAAAACAGCAACAACCACAGAAGUUAUUCCCAGACAUUUUGAGAGUGAAAAUAUUUGGCCUACAAAAGAUACUUGAAGGUAACUGUAGUAUACAUAUUAUUAAAAUGACUUGGACAUGGUUUACAUUUGAGAAUUACACAUUGUCCUUUGAGACAGCUGGCAAAACCCUGAAGUGUCUCAACCUCAGGGACAGGAAUUUCUGCCCUCGAGGUAGACAUUACCUGUCUCUGGCAGCUGCUGAAGACAGAUUGAGGGCCUGGCAACCCCUGCAGCAGGCACCCAAUCCCUGUCCUUUUCUUCACCUCUAUCUCUUCCACCCACCCACGCUCUCCCCUCCUGGCUGUGAGAGCCUGGAAGAGUCUGUCUAAUCUGAACUUGGAGAGCAGUGCUCUUUUGCCUUUAAAAUGCUUGCCCAGCUUAAUCAGUAACCAGCAGCCCUCUACUGCCAGUUACUCUCCUGCCCUGACAUGAGCCUCCUCUCCUGCCAGCCUGCAGAUGUGACUUUUUUAGGAAGAGUCAAUUCCCAGCCUUCACCCUUCCUGCCAAUGACAGCCUCCCUCUUUGAAGGUUACCUGUCACUGGUAUUCUUGCACAUGAAUGCAAAGUAAAGUGGGUGCUUGUCCUGACCUUGAGAAGCACGUCAGUGUGCAUAUAAGUUCUGAAACAGAGCACUUGACAUUUGCUGUCUUAUUUGUGUCAGGACUAAGAAGAGGAAGCCUCGUGUGGAGGGAUACUCUCUUAGGUCUGGGGAUGUGGCUUGUGAAUGGCACUUGUCAACUAAACCUUGCAGUGAUAUUCAGCAGGCAUGAUGGGGAGGAAAUGUUAAUGAAAUCCUGCCUAACUGCCGGAACACAUUUGAAUAGAAUCAAAGUCAUAUGUGGAUUUUUUUUUCUCGUAUACUAAGUCUUCUCAGCAUAUAUUAACCUUUUUGCCAGCUUGAAAAAAUAAAAAGGCACAAAACUAAGAUGUUUCACUCAUUCAAUCAUUCUUCCAACAUUUAUGGAGCACCCAUUAUGUACCAGGCCCUGUACCCAGAACUAGGGGGAAAAAUUGAAUAAGGCAUGAAUUUCUUUAGGAAAACAAUCUAUUAUUCAACAUUAUAUGGUGAGAACCCAAAUUCUCAGCUUAUUGAAAAAAACCAAAGGAUGCCAUGGAUUUCUAGACCCUCUGUUUCAUUUGGUUAUAGGCAAAGAGGAAGGUAAGACCCUUCAAAAGGGCAAAUAGAGUGUUAAAUUAGCUAGGAUGUACUUGGAACUUGAAACAAUUUUGGAAUUUAGGAAUAAAGCUUGCUGGGUUAUGGGGAAGAGACUUCCAAGCAACCAGAAUAGAUGGAACCAUCUUGGGCAGACAAUCAGGAGAGUACCUAGACUUGCCAUUGUUCGUAAAAUAGUCUUUCAAGCAAGAAAAGCCUACAAUCACAAUCACCAAUCUGGGCUGACCCUCCCUUGUCCAGUCUCUGACCAGCUGCUGCCUGAUACCACUGAUAGCAGAAUUCAGCUGAGCAUUGUUCUGCUGAUCAGUGGUGCAAGGCACUCCAUUUAGUAGCAACUUCCUGAUGCAGAGCUUUUAGGGAAUUCAAGGACUUGCUCUGUCAUCAUCAUCGGAAGUACAUAUUUUCAUUGCUGAGUCAGAAGAAUGAAAUUGGAGCUGGACCAGACACAAAUGGGUGAGUCAAAUGAAAGACUAUAGCUUCAUAACAAACCCCACUGUUGCUGAGACUCCUGGGGUGUGGGUUACCGAGUGGAGUACCACAGCAAAUGCCCGUGGCCCAUUCAUUCAUUCAAUAUAUGGUUAUGGUACACUUUCUGUGUUUCAAGAACUGUUCUAGGUGCUGGGUGGGGACAAAACUGUUAACCAGACAGACAAGGUUACACCCUCACAAAGCUUAUCUUGCAAUGAAGAGAUGUAAUUUAGAUGAUGAUAGGGUGAAGGAAACAUUAAUGGAUAAACUACAGAGUAACUUAUGAAAAUCACUUACAUUAAACCAGACUUUAUUGCAGACAACAGAAUCCACUCUAUCUCAUUUAAGAAGAAAGAAAUUCUAUCUGGUCAGCCCUCCAUAUCCACAGUUUCUGUGUCUGUGAAUUCAAAAACAUUUGGGGAAAAAAAAAUUACCUGAACGGAACAUGUACGGACUUUUUUCUUUGUCAUUAUUUCCUAAAUAAUAUAGUAUAACAACUAUUUAAAUAGCAUCUACAUUUCAUCAGAUGUUAUAAGUAAUCUAGUAUGACUUAAGUAUACAUAUAACACAUGGGUUGUGCGCAAAUAGCAUGCUCUUUUAUAUAAGGGACUUGAGCAUCCAUAGAUUUAUAUCCACCUGGUGUCCUAGAACUAUCUUCCGGGGAUACCAAGAGAUAACAAAUACAGAGCUCAAUGACAAAGUAAUUGUUAAAAGGGUGGAAGAGUAGGCUCCAGUCUGACCUGUGCACAAUUUGGUUUGAGAAGCUGUUGUAUUGGGGAAGGUGCCACACCCCUGCCUACUACAGAAGGAUUUCAGCCCCCAGUACAAUCACAAUAGCUGUUGGUUCUGUUGCAGAAGUCCAAAUCAAUCGGGAAGCUGCCUCUUCCUCCUACAAGUUCCAGCCACAGCUACAACUACUUGCUGUGGAAUCCUACCACUUCUGCCAGGAUCCAAGCCAACACAAUGAAGCUCCGUCCCAUCCAAACGAAACCCUGUGAACCACAAAAUGGAUGCCUUACAUUUUAUUGAUGGAAACAGAUUCAUGUCUAGAAUCCAAUUUCCAACAGAAUCUGGGAAAUGUGGGUUUUAGCUUUGCAUUCUUGGCAUAGGAAAAGGUAGUUUUGAAUGGAUGUUAAACUAGCCAGUCCAUGGUAGCUACCACACCACUUUAAGAAGGAUAAUCAGGGAAUGCCUCUAAGGCAACUGACAUUUAAGCUAAGAUCUCAUGAAGGACUGAGGGAGAAACUUUCCAGGCAUAGACAAAAACAAGUCUGGGCAUAAUGAUUGGGGGACAAAAGAGAAUUUAGAAAAGUUAGCAGAAGCUAAAUCAAGCAAGGCUUAGAAGAUCAUAGUGAGGAAUUUGCAUCUUAUUCAGAGUACUUGGAAACCAAAGAAAGUUUUAUGAAGGGGAUUGACAAAAUUUGAUUCAUAUUUUUAAAAGAAAAUUCUGGCUGCAAGGUGAAGAAUGGAUUAUGGAGGCACAAAGAUAUGAGACAAAACAGAAAAAUUUUUUGAGAAUUAGAUAUGAUGGUGCCUUGGGCUAGGAUGUUGGCCAGACAGAAAUGAAAUUGGCAUUUUCUAUGUGUAUAUUGUAGGGAGGACUGCAGGGUUUCAGGAUGAAUUAGAUGUGAGGAGUUACAAAAAGGGAAGCAUUAAGGGUUGCUUCUAUAUUUCUACUACAAACAAUGGGGAAAUGGUAUCCUAUUUACUGGGUUGAGGGAAAACAUGUCUACAAUUGACCACAACAUCUAGUUCUUGAUAUUUAAAAAAUAAUCUGUCACAUAGACAUGUUGGAAGUAAUCUCAACCACAGAGCCUCAUGUUUUGCUCUCCCAAAUGGCAACUAAUCUCACUCUUCAGAGUAUCAUUUAGGUUCCAAAGAAGAGGGUCUCAAUCUCUAUGCAUGUAAGAUACUGACACAGGUGUAUGUAAACACUGGUAUUAAGAUUUACAUGGUAAAAUACAUGUGGCAGUGUAGAAUAGUCUGGGGGUGGUAGUAUCUAAUCUCACAAAAAAUGAAAGUAAUAAAGAGAUUUGAAGGAGAAAAAUCACAUGCUGAAGAGUUGGGGACCAUGGCAAGUCACAGCCCUGUGCCAUCUUGGUGCAGCAAAAUAACCCUCAGCUCACUGACUCCCGUGUCCUUCCCCUGCCCACCUCUCUCCACUCACUUCACCAUCAAAACAGUUGCUGGAAUUAGCAGAAGAGGAUGUUUACUGGACUUAUA
rnacentral:lncRNA from 1 species